rnacentral:lncRNA from 1 species
ACUAAAAUUUCUGUGACAGACUGGGGCAAAAGCGCCUUAUCUAUUGGGGGUUCUAACAAGUAGAAAUGACCAGAAAGGACUCUUUCCAGAAUUAGUAAAUAUUGGAAGCUAGAGGAGGUAGGAAGUGGCUUCAUGGCAACACUGCAGCUGUGCUUUUCAUGAUCAUUAAUGGAUCUGAUGGAAUAAGACAGUGGAAAAUGCCUUCUGCAACAGAGUGCACUCAGAAAGCCUGCUAGAUGCAUUACAGAGACACAUCAGGCAUUCUGCAAGCUGAAGAUUCUCCACUUUGAUCUCCCAGCAAGCUGACUGUGGCACAGUGUCCCCACAGAGUUGAAUGCACUGCACAGGAGGGUCUUUUAACUAAAGUGCACACAGGGAAAAUUUCAUGAGGUUCUUAUGAAGUGGUUUGUUUUAGCUCUGAAUGGAGGAAAAGAAGUAGAGAGGAAAAGGGAAAAUGGUCUUAUGACAUAAAGAUCCAGUUGGACCUGGUGUGAUUUUUAUCAUCUUAAAGCCUGUUUGAGAAGACUAACCUCAAAGUAUGAGACUGUCUCAAUACAGCACAUAAAAAAUGGAAGGCAAAAAGUAGCUGGUCUGUAAACAACCCACAAAGCAAAUUGCCAGUUGAUAUUUUCUGAACUAGAAUUCUUUGAGUUACAAUGGGAACAGCUUCUCGGUAUAUACAGAGCAUGAGUCUUCUCUUUGGUUCCAACGGAGCUUUGUUAUGACUUGUAAUGAGCUGAACAUUGUAAUGCAUGUUCUAAAAAAAAAAAAUUGACUGUGACUGUGUGUGCAAAAAUACAAUGCACAUGCACCAGGAUGUUAACAAAACAGCACCUGCACAAACUAAGAUUGCAACUCUAUUCUCAGCUUAUCUUUGCUUUUCACUCACUGGGAUCAUUUCUCUUUCAAUGGGAAGGAAAGCCGCACAUGCAAGCAGAAUUCCUACAUUAAA